CUUGUGGUUUCUUACUAAUUUGCUGUUGUGUCGGGGCUAGGAGGUCCAUCUUAGUGUGCUAGAGGCCAGAAGGAGAAUAAUGAAGUCCUUAGUAGAGUGUGUUAGUGUGCACAUGUGUUAGCAGCGACUCCUCAAGUAUGGGUGAGUCAUAGCUAGGGAGGAGAAAAGGAAAUAGAAAUAGACAAAGGAAGAUGGAAGAGGGAUUGAAAUGAGCAAAGAAACCUUACCUGACCCAACCAGAACAAGAGACUAUAAAAGAGAGGUCAAUUUCAGGAGGUGUCUAUUGUUACUGUCCUUAUCAUUCUCCCAACCAGAACAAGAGGCUUAGAAAGAGAGGUCAAUUUCAGGAGGUGUCUAUUGUUACUGUCCUUAUCAUUCUCCCAACCAGAACAAGAGGCUUAGAAAGAGAGGUCAAUUUCAGGAGGUGUCUAUUGUUACUGUCCUUAUCAUUCUCCCAACCAGAACAAGAGGCUUAGAAAGAGAGGUCAAUUUCAGGAGGUGUCUAUUGUUACCGUCAUCAUUAUCAUUCUUCCAACCAGAACAAGAGGCGGUAUUAUUCUAGUGUUUGCCCAUACUCACCCCUCGCAACCAAAAUUGGCUAGGGGGCCAUUGAGACUUCGGGGAAUGUGGUGGUAAACAUGAAAUGCGUCACAAAUGCAUAGUUUUUGAGUAAUGAGGGGUUGAAAAAUACCCUAGAUGUAGGGAAAUUCCUUACAACUACUUAGAUGUAGGGAAAUUUCAUACAUCCCAGGGUUUUUUUUACAACGUACGGAAACCACUCAAGGUAAUUAUUGAAAAUCACUCCGCACCUCGAAAAUACGAUAUUGCGCCUCCAUAUUGUACUUAAGGGCAUAUUAUACAUACAGACGAUGUGUUUACAUGGCGACACCAUUGCAAUAUGAGCAGCGUUGCCAACGAUCCGGUUAGCAAUGAUACGCUAGGUGAGACCAGGUCCACCACGCGUGAUUAUUUAUUAUUUUUUUUUUUUGGAACACGCACCUUUACCUAAUACUAUUUCCGAUGGUACGCUAGGUUAGCGAUGGGAGGCUAAGAAAGAGAGGUCAAUUUCAGGAGGUGUCUAUUGUUACCAUUAUCAUUCUUCCAACCAGAACAAAAGGCUAAGAAAGAGAGGUCAAUUUCAGGAGGUGUCUGUUGUUACUGU